rnacentral:SRP_RNA from 1 species
GCCGGGCGAGGUGGCGGGCGCCUGUAGUCCCAGCUACUCGGAGGCUGAGGCAGGAGAAUGGCGUGAACCCGGGAGGCGGAGCUUGCAGUNNNNNNNNNNUUUGAGAUUGAGUCUCACUCUGUCACCCAGGCUGGGGUGCAAUAGUGAGAUCUUGGCUCACUGCAACCUCCGCCUCCCGGGUUCAAGUGAUUCUCCUGCCUCAG